CUUUAACACUGUAUAUAAUACAUAUGCAUGUAUAUAUAUAUAUAUAUAUAUAUAUAUACACACACAUAUUAUCAUGCACAAUGUGUACUCUCUCCUGCAGGUUAGUAGAUGAAGGUCCUUCCUUGGGAUGGAUUUCCACAUCUGCCUCUGAGCUGGAAAUAAUGUUAUCACUCUGGGAAGCAAAAGCCAUCAUUUGAGGGUUUAUAGGAAGCUGUGUGUACUGUCCUUCCAACCUCAGCUUGCAGCUGGCACACCUGGCUGAAAUUUCUGGAGCAGGCAGCAUUCAUCUGGUGAGUGCUCCUCAGCAUUGUCUCAUUGUCUCUGCUUCCUCCAUCCUCUUAUGAACCCAAGGUGAAGGAGCUUCCCAUGGGGUUGUGCUUCCCUCUCUGCCCUGCUUCAGCUGGAGAAGUGUCUUCCCCUCUCCUGAAGCACAGCAGUGACGAUCCAGUCACCAGAUGGCCAUUGUGUAAAUGGGAAUGAGAAUUUUUAUCCAGAUGGAAGAUGGAAGAUUGAUCACCUUCUCAGGAUAACAGGAUGCCCAGCACAGGACCCCUUCUGUGAGAAAAAGCUUCCUAUAGCCACAGCAGCUACAAAUAUAACCCUGCAGAAAACUGAAAAGCAGCUCUGUGUUGAGGACUUUCCUGUAAGAAGUUUACUACAGUGUGUCAGAGCUCGUAGAGCUCUGCAGAGAGCCUUCAUGAAUCCGUUUGGUGGAACUUCUGAACUGGGAGUAUUCACAACUGAAACCCAGGGAAAUUGGAAUGCUUUAGAUGCCAAAACAUGUUUACUGAAGGCAACACUGACUCUCUUACAAGGCUCUGCAGAAAUCUGCCAGUUGAAAAA
rnacentral:lncRNA from 1 species